UCGUAACAAGGUUUCCGUAGGUGAACCUGCGGAAGGAUCAUUACAGUAUUCUUUUUGCCAGCGCUUAAUUGCGCGGCGAAAAAACCUUACACACAGUGUUUUUUGUUAUUACAAGAACUUUUGCUUUGGUCUGGACUAGAAAUAGUUUGGGCCAGAGGUUUACUGAACUAAACUUCAAUAUUUAUAUUGAAUUGUUAUUUAUUUAAUUGUCAAUUUGUUGAUUAAAUUCAAAAAAUCUUCAAAACUUUCAACAACGGAUCUCUUGGUUCUCGCAUCGAUGAAGAACGCAGCGAAAUGCGAUAAGUAAUAUGAAUUGCAGAUUUUCGUGAAUCAUCGAAUCUUUGAACGCACAUUGCGCCCUCUGGUAUUCCAGAGGGCAUGCCUGUUUGAGCGUCAUUUCUCUCUCAAACCUUCGGGUUUGGUAUUGAGUGAUACUCUUAGUUGAACUAGGCGUUUGCUUGAAAUGUAUUGGCAUGAGUGGUACUGGAUAGUGCUAUAUGACUUUCAAUGUAUUAGGUUUAUCCAACUCGUUGAAUAGUUUAAUGGUAUAUUUCUCGGUAUUCUAGGCUCGGCCUUACAAUAUAACAAACAAGUUUGACCUCAAAUCAGGUAGGAUUACCCGCUGAACUUAAGCAUAUCA
rnacentral:misc_RNA from 1 species